GACGAACGCUGGCGGCGUGCUUAACACAUGCAAGUCGAACGAAGUGGCGAACGGGUGAGUAACGCGUAAUCAACCUGCCCUUCAGGGGGGGACAACAGUUGGAAACGACUGCUAAUACCGCAAACUGAAGGAGGGGAUUGCGUUGGAUUAGUUAGUGGGGGGGGUAACGGCCCACCAAGGCGAUGAUCAGUAGCCGGGCCGAGAGGGUGAUCGGCCACAUUGGGACUGCGACACGGCCCAGACUCCUACGGGAGGCAGCAGUGGGGAAUCUUCCGCAAUGGACGAAAGUCUGACGGAGCAACGCCGCGUGAGUGAUGACGGCUUUCGGGUUGUAAAGCUCUGUUAAUCGGGACGCGGUACCGGAAUAGAAAGCCACGGCUAACUACGUGCCAGCAGCCGCGGUAAUAC
rnacentral:rRNA from 1 species